AAAUUUAGGGGAGGUGACAUAAGAGAAAAUUUCUUUAAAAAGGAAGGGGUAAAAAGUCAGGAGACAAUUGAAUUCAGUUUGGAGAGCAAUUCAGUUCCCGAGUGGAGGGUGAUUCUGGAAUUGGAGUUCAGGAGAUUCAGUGGAGGACUGGAGUUUGCUUGGAGAAGGUCUUGUGCAUGUGAACCAACAAUCCUAAUCAAAGCAACUAGACAAUACAGUGGAUUGAGUAUUAAGCCUGGAGUCAGAAAGACAUCUUCCCAAGUUCAAAUUGAGCUUCAGAUACUUGUGACCCUGGGUAAGUCACUUAACUCUGCUUGCCUCAAUUUUCUCAUCUGUAAAAUGAAUUGGAGAAGGAAAUGGAGAAAAUUCUAAACAGUGUGAAAAUGACUAAAGAACAAUUGUUAGUCAUAACCCUAAAAACAUUUAGGAUUUGAAUUUUCUUAAAAGGGAUUUAGUGGGUUUAUGUUAAAACUCUUAUAAUGCAUUUAUUUCAUAUUGUUAUAAAAAUAUUGGAUACUAGUGGUAAACUUAUCCAAAUGGCUAGCUUGGGGAAAAUCAUCUCAGAACAAUCUUGAUGGCUCAUAAUCGAUAAUUGUACAGUGAGGUUCUAACUGCUAUGACACAGUUAAAACAGUAUUUGAAAUAGUUUCAUGUCUAGGAGACCAUGCAGCAAUGGAGAUAUAGCCCUGGUGUGUAGGGAAUUCCAUUUGAAAAUCACAUUAUUGCUAAUGAGAUUUACGUACAUAAUUCCCUCUGGGCAAAACUGAAAAUUUCUCUCUAUAGUCUGGAUUGUGACUUAGUGCCUUAUUUUAAAUGUAAUUUUCAAAAGGCAAACAAGGAAGGCUUAUAUAAACCUGCAGCUCUCUCAUCCAAAGGUCAUGUUCACUUUACAGAUGUUGUUGGGAAGCUAGCUUUGAGCAUGGGAGUUCUAAAUCAGAACUGGAGACUUGCCCAAAAAACAUGUAUUAUUUCCCUAUGGAAAUGACACUAUUAUUUAUUCCAUCCUCCCAAACGGUAAGUACAUAUCUUUGAAUAGGAAGGUAAUUUUAAGUCAAAUUCGAUUUUUUUUUUUAAUGUAGGGACCUAACCACUCUCUGGACUUUUAAGUCAUUGCCCCAUCUACACUGUCCAGGGCUUCAGUUGAAAGUUUUUACCUAUUCAUUUACUUAAAAUUGUAUUUGCCCCAUAGCUAUUUCCAGGGCUUCAUUUGUGGAAAAUUCCUGGGUUAUGACCCUAUUUAUAUAUCCUGAAUAUAUUUAGAAGGGGACAUUUCUAAGGGUAUACUAAUGACAAAUAUUCUUCUUGUUUCAUUUGUGGAGUCAUUCAUUUUUAUGUCAAAAUAGUAAAAUUUAAUAUUUUUCAAAUUUGAAUUUGUACUCCCUCUCCCAAGUUAGGAGAGGUUUUCCUUAAAAAAAAAAAAGUGUUGAAACUGUCUUUAAUAUUCUUCUGUCUUGGGGAAGUAAGGACUGAGUUAUUGACUCAAUUUUUGGUUCCCUGGGCACAAAAAUAGCCAGAAUACAGAGGGACUGGAUCCCCUCCCUGAAGCUUCAGGUUAUAAAUGAGCAGUAUGAACUAGUCAUAGAAGCCAUGCUCAGAUCGGAGAAUCUUUGUCCAUGAUGUUCCUUCCCCGGCUGUGGCUCAGUAAACGUCCUUUUAUGAGCUGUUAGAUUGUCUUCAUGUCUCUCGUUUCAUUUCUGUUUCAGACAGAGACCACCAGGAGACUGGCCUGAACUGUUCUAUCUAAAUGAUUAAAAAUAUUUCCAUAAAUGGUGACUUGAAUAGAAAUGUGUCCCUGGCAUGAUGGCAAAGAUUUUUAAUAAGUACUUUGUGUCUAAGAUCAGGAGGACUAUGUCCACCAGAAUCCUGUCCCCAUAUCCUCGUGGUGACAUGGGGGGAACCUCUGCUUUUCAAAGGUUAUGAGAUGGAAAGAAAGCUUCCCACCGGAGCCUGGGAGAGGCUAUUUGCAUGUUUAUCUGUCUGAAGGCUAGCCUGGGUCCAUCAUCAUCAUGAUGGCCAGCAUAGUAGCACUUUACGGUCUGUGAUCUCACAACAACCCUAUAAAGUGGGUGCUCUUAUUAUUAUUCUUUUACAGAUAGGAAAUCUAAACCAAGAAAGGCUGCACAGCUUGUCCAGGGUCACAGGGCGAGUAAACAUCUGAGCUAGGUCUCCAAGCCUAGCACUAUCUACUACGCUACCCUAGCUCCUUCUGUUUAAAUGUUAGCUAUCUCUCCUAUAGUGGGCAGCUAGCUAGGUGGCCCAGUGGAUAGAGCAUGGAACCUAGAGUUAGAAAGGCUCAUCUUCAUGAGUUCAAAUCUGACUUCAGACACUUAGUAGCUGUGUGGCCCUAGGUAAAUCACUUUAAUCCUGCUUGCUGUCUCAGUUUCCUCAUCUGUAAUAUAAACUAGUGAAGUAAAUGGCAAAUCUUUCUGGCAUCUUUGCCAAUAAAACCCCAAAUGGGGUCA
ensembl:lncRNA